AUGAAUGUGGUGCAGAGAGCGAGCGCACGUAGCAUGAGCGGCAGGCUGGAGCAGGCGUCUCCAAUUCCCUGCCAAAACCCUGUCCCGAGAAACGAGCACACCUCGUACCUGCUCGACGAAAUGCGCCCGAGCCCGACGGCCACCGGGCCCUCGGGGCCGCGCCGCCCCGCGGGCGAGACGGCCGCCGACCACCUCAGCGCCCUCCCGGACGACCUCCUGCGCCGCAUCAUGUCGUCCCUGAGGGCGUGGGAGGUGGUGCGCACCUGCGUGCUCGCGCGGCGCUGGCGCCACCUAUGGGCGUCCGCGCCCUGCCUCGACUUCCGCCCGCGCCACUCCACCCGCGACCGCGAGCCGCUCCGCCCCCGCGACUUCUUCUACAAGCUCUUCCUCUUCCGCAACGCGUCGGCGCCCGUGGACACGCUCCGCCUGCGGUCCAGCGACGCGCUGGGAGACUUCGCCGACGACGACGCCGGCACCUGGAUCAGGGCUGCUAUGGGGCGCAGCGCGCGGGUCAUACAUGUCGUUGGGCAUCGCAGGUUUCCGGCGCUGUUGGUCGGCGUCCCCUUCGUCUCCUGCCACCUCAGGGUCUUGAAGCUGUCGUAUGCCAUGCUCGACCGCAGGAUCCUCGGGGAGCUCUCUUCUAGCUGCGCAUCUCUGGAGGAACUUGACCUCAAGGAUUGCGUGGUGGCAGCGGAUGAGAUCGUCUCUGCCUCUCUCAAGACUUUAAUCAUGCUCAAAUGCAAGAUCGAGUGUGACUUCUCGAUUUCAUCUCCGAACCUCGUGAUUCUGCGCCUCAUCACCUUACUUGCGGGUCCCAUCAUUCAAGAACCUGGGUUCGCUGCUGAUGAUAAUAGCAAUUAUGGUUCUGAACACAUCAUUGAGCAAGAGGAUUGUGAUGAUACUACUUCUGACGAUGGUGGCGAUGAUGAUAGCAGUUAUGUUUCUGAACACAUCAGUUAUGGUUCUGAACACAUCAUUGAGCAAGAGGAUUGUGAUGAAACUACUUCUGAUGAUGGUGACGAUGAUGAUAGCAGUUAUGCUUCCGAACACAUCACCAAUCAAGAUGAUUGUGAUGAAACAACUGAUGAUGAUGGUGAUGAUAGCGACGAUAAGGAUAAGAGAGAGAAGAGCUAUAAGGCGGGUGAUGGCUCUUUCUUGAGUGGUGAUGAUUCUGUAUACAUCAGUGAAGAUGAUGUUUUCGCUGAAAGCGCUGACGAGGAAGAUGGUUCUGAUAAUAGCAAGAAUUCUAAGAUUGGAUAUGGGUCUGAUGGUCAGAACGACAAUUAUGAUCAUGAUAAUGAUAUCGAUAGCGAUGACACCUAUGAAUACAGUGAGAUUGCACAAGAGAGAAAGUAUGGUUACCAUGCCGACAAACAAAAUUCUAGCUAUGAAAACAGUGAAAUCAAUGAUAGUGGACAUCUUGGUGGCCAAAACAUCCUUCGGAGUCUUUCAAGUGUUACAAGUUUGGAGUUGUUAACUGAUGCUGGAGAGGUGGUUCUAAUUAGGGAAUUGAGAAGAUGUUCAACCUUUAGCAACCUGAAGAUCUUGUCCCUUGGUGAAUGGUGUAUGGCUCCUGGUUUCGAUGCACUAAUUUUCCUGCUCCAACAUUCACCUGUUAUAGAGAGGCUUUUUCUCCAACUUAAAUUGGUAUGUGUUACGUGUAUAUUCGUUGUUGGUGUAUUCAUGCCUGGGCAUGUGCUUAAUAACAGUUUUGUUGAUCUGCACAAGAACUUCAACCCCAGAAGCAAAAAAGCCUUGGAAACAAGUAUCAAACUACAGAGAAGAUCAUUUACCUGCAAAGACCUUCAAAUGGUGAAAAUCAAAUGCUCAAAGGAUGAUGUGAGAGUCCAUAAGUUGGCAAAUUUGUUCAUUUCAAAUGGUGUACCCCUUGACAAGAUUUUAGUCCAUCGGAGUGGGAGUGCUUGUGAUUCAUACUGCAUACCUUCUCUUCAUAUGCCAUUUAUAUGUUCCCAUGCUAUUUUCUGA
rnacentral:rRNA from 1 species